rnacentral:rRNA from 1 species
GAUGAACGCUGGCGGCGUGCCUAAUACAUGCAAGUCGAGCGAACAGACGAGAGUGCUUGCACUCUCUGACGUUAGCGGCGGACGGGUGAGUAACACGUGGGUAACCUACCUAUAAGACUGGGAUAACUUCGGGAAACCGGAGCUAAUACCGGAUAAUAUUUAGCUUCGCAUGAAGCAAUAGUGAAAGACGGUUCUGCUGUCACUUAUAGAUGGACCCGCGGUGUAUUAGCUAGUUGGUGAGGUAACGGCUCACCAAGGCAACGAUACAUAGCCGACCUGAGGGGGGGAGCAGGCAACAGGGAGACGAAGACGGGCCCCAGAACACUGGGGAAGGAGGCAGGGGGAAAACUACGAGAAGGGAGGAAGGUAUGACGGAGCAAGGCCGCGGAAGUAAAGAGGGUUUUGGAAUCGAAAAACUCUGUGGAAGGGGAAAAAAAAGUAGGUAAGAAACAGAACAUACCGUGAGGAACCAUAAAAAGAAGGCCACGGAAACCUCCGUC